rnacentral:rRNA from 1 species
UGGGGAAUAUUGCACAAUGGGCGCAAGCCUGAUGCAGCCAUGCCGCGUGUAUGAAGAAGGCCUUCGGGUUGUAAAGUACUUUCAGCGGGGAGGAAGGUGUUGAGGUUAAUAACCUCAGCAAUUGACGUUAACCGCAGAAGAAGCACCGGCUAACUCCGUGCCAGCAGCCGCGGUAAUACGGAGGGGGCAAGCGUUAAUCGGAAUUACUGGGCGUAAAGCGCACGCAGGCGGUCUGUCAAGUCGGAUGUGAAAUCCCCGGGCUCAACCUGGGAACUGCAUUCGAAACUGGCAGGCUAGAGUCUUGUAGAGGGGGGUAGAAUUCCAGGUGUAGCGGUGAAAUGCGUAGAGAUCUGGAGGAAUACCGGUGGCGAAGGCGGCCCCCUGGACAAAGACUGACGCUCAGGUGCGAAAGCGUGGGGAGCAAACA